rnacentral:ncRNA from 2 species
GUCGCGGGCCGUGACUGGCGCUGAGGUGGACUACCACCGGGGAGCGGCCUGACGAACGGGUCUUUGCCGCGCGCCUGGGCGAUUGUG